UCUAUGCUUCUUCAAGAUUCUAGUGGAACUUGAUGAAGUUUUCAUGGAUAUUUCCAUGAUUAUAAUGAUAGUUCUACAAGGAUUUCACUUUUCUCAGAUUAUAGCGAAAAUGAUAAGUUUUCAGGGGUGUUUUCCAUGAGUCUGUUAAUAGUUUAACAAGGAAUUCCACACUUCUAUCAGGCUCUAAUGGAGGUUAUUUGAUAUUUCGAGGGUGUUUUAAUGAUUCUAUUGAUAGUUUACCAAGUUUUUCCUUCAAUUCUAGAGCCUGACAGUUGUCAGGCUCUGGUGGAAGUUAUUGGAGUUUUCAAGGGUGUUUCCAAGAAUUCUACAUCAUCAAUGCGAAAAGCACUCGAGAGAACCUGACUGAUCGUGCGUGUGGCCUCUGAAAAUUAUCUUGAUGGAAGAACAAACGCUUCAAAACACAGAUCGUGGUGGUGCGUGGCGUGGGAAGGAACUCUGUCACCUGCUCCCUCAGUUCCCAACCCUCCUAGUGCCCACUCCUAGGUUGUCGUGGGCGCGUGAACAACCCCUAUCCCGUGCCCCGCCUUGGCCAGGCCAGGCGUGUAGGGGGGAGGGGGAGGGAAGGCUGGACGCUCACGUGGGUCGGAUAAGGCAUGCCUUUGUUGCCAUGCUGGAAGUGACAAGAGUAGCAUUUCCUGCACCAAGGAUGGAGAGACAACCAGCGUCACCAUCACCAGACUGUGCUGCACCAACGAGUCAGAGCAGCAGCCUCACUCUCCCUGCUCCUCUUCGGUGGAGUUCCCUUCUGUGGGUGACUCACUCUCAGAGUUAGACCUCAGCUCCAGGCCCUCACCCUGCGCUGCUGCUGGAGGGACAAAAAGUCUUCUCAAUGAGGCGUGACAUGAUGUCCCUGCAGGUUGCCUCAACACCCGCUGGCAGCCAGCCAUACUUCUCUGAGCACACCUUGUUGGCACCCGUCAGGAUGGCCUCCUCCAACAGCUUCUGAAUCUCUGGCACCUGAAUGUCGCAGUACUGCAAAAGGAACAACAGUCUGUUAGUGACUCACCAUCCUCAGGAGCCAGUUCAUCUAAAGUCUGCAAGACAAAGGCUUCCCUGAAUUUGAUAGUGAAUUUUUAUGCAUUUAUACACCUUGUCUCAACUAUGUCUUUUAAAGGGGCUAUCAGCUGGUUUACAUACAUACACAUACAUACAUAUAUACAUAGGUAUAUUUCAUACAGGGACUGCCACAUGUAAUGCUGGUGGCUUCUUGCAGCUUCCCUUAUU